GCGGCAGGCUUAACACAUGCAAGUCGAACGGUAACAGAAAGUAGCUUGCUACUUUGCUGACGAGUGGCGGACGGGUGAGUAAUGCUUGGGAAUAUGCCUUAUGGUGGGGGACAACAGUUGGAAACGACUGCUAAUACCGCAUAACAUCUCCGGAUCAAAGUGGGGGACCUUCGGGCCUCACGCCAUAAGAGUAGCCCAAGUGGGAUUAGCUAGUUGGUAAGGUAAUGGCUUACCAAGGCGACGAUCCCUAGUUGGUCUUAGAGGAUGACCAGCCACACUGGAACUGAGACACGGUCCAGACUCCUACGGGAGGCAGCAGUGGGGAAUAUUGCACAAUGGGCGCAAGCCUGAUGCAGCCAUGCCGCGUGUGUGAAGAAGGCUUUCGGGUUGUAAAGCACUUUCAGCGAGGAGGAAAGGGUAUUGUUUAAUAAGCAAUAUCUGUGACGUUACUCGCAGAAGAAGCACCGGCUAACUCCGUGCCAGCAGCCGCGGUAAUACGGAGGGUGCGAGCGUUAAUCGGAAUUACUGGGCGUAAAGCGCGCGUAGGCGGUUAAUUAAGUCAGAUGUGAAAUCCCAGGGCUCAACCUUGGAACUGCAUUUGAAACUGGUUAACUAGAGUUUUGUAGAGGGUGGUAGAAUUUCAGGUGUAGCGGUGAAAUGCGUAGAGAUCUGAAGGAAUACCAGUGGCGAAGGCGGCCACCUGGACAAUAACUGACGCUGAGGCGCGAAGGCGUGGGGAGCAAACGGGAUUAGAUACCCCGGUAGUCCACGCAGUAAACGAUGUCUAUUAGAAUUUUGUGGCUAUAUGCCGUGGGAUUCAAAGCUAACGCAUUAAAUAGACCGC
rnacentral:rRNA from 1 species